UCCUAGGGACGAGCUUGCGCCUGAUUAGUUAGUUGGCGAGGUAAUGGCUCACCAAGACUAUGAUCAGUAGCUGGUUUGAGAGAGCGGUCAGCCACAUUGGGAUUGAGAUACGGCCCAAACUUCUUCGGGGGGCAGCAGUCGGGAAUUUUCCGCAAUGGGCGCAAGCCUGACGGAGCGAUGCCUUGUGGAGGAUGAAGGAUCAUAAAGGUUCGUAAACUCCUUUUAUUAAGGAACAUUAAUUGUCGUUUCCGUAUUUAGAUAGUACUUAAAGAAUCAAGUAUCGGCUAACUCUGUGCCAGCAGCCGCGGUAAUACGGGGGAUGCAAACGUUGUCCAGUUGUAUUGGGCGUAAAGCGUCCGUAGGUGGACUGGUAAGUUUAUUGUUAAAGAUUCUGGCUCAACCAGGAAAAAGCAAUGAAAACUGCUGGACUAGAGAGUGGACGGGGUGAAGAGAAUAUCUAGUGGAGCGGUAAAAUGCGAUGAUAUUAGGCGGAACACCAGUGGCGAAAGCGCUUCACUAGACCAUUUCUGACACUGAGGGACGAAAGCUAGGGGAGCAAAAAGGAUUAGGUACCCUUGUAGUCCUAUCGCUGUAAACGCUGGGUACUAGAUGUCGCAGUGGUGCGGUGUCUUAGCUAACGCGUUAAGUACCCCGCCUGGGGAGUACGCUCGCAAGGGUGAAACUCAAAGGAAUUGACGGGACCCCUCGCAAGCGGUGGAGCAUGCUGUUUAAUUCGAUCAACGCGAAGAACCUUACCUAGAUUUGACCUUCUAUAAAUCUCCAUGAAAAUGGAGGAAACCAAACUUACAUGGUGUAAAAGCUUCUUAGGGAGCAGUAGUUACAGGUGGUGCAUGGCUGUCGUCAGUUCGUGUCGUGAGAUGUCAGGUUAAGUCCUAGUAACGAACGCAACCCUUAUCCUUAGUUAAUUAUAUGUCUAGGGAAACGGCCAACGAUCAAGUUGGAGGAAGGAGAGGAUGACGUCAAGUCAGCAUGCCCCGUAUGUCUAGGGCUACAAGCGUGCUACAAUGACUAUUCAACAAAAAGUCGCAACUUUGUGAAAGGAAGCGAAUCUACAAAUGAGGUCACAGUUCGGAUUGUAGGCUGCAACUCGGCUACAUGAAGUCGGAAUCGCUAGUAAUCGCUGGUCAGCUAUACAGCGGUGAACUUGUUUCAGGGGUUUGUACACACCGCCCGUCACACCCCUGAAGUUGACUAUACCAGGCGUCGUUGUCUUAACCA
rnacentral:rRNA from 1 species